GCUCUUCACAGAAUGUGUUUGGACAGAGCCUAGUUUUAAACUUGGGCUAUCCAUUUUUGUUCUGUGUCUUCUUGCCCUGGGGAAGGUGGAAAGCCUUGUGUGCUUAGGACUAUUCAGAAUAUCCUGAGCACAUGCUGACUGUGGCUUUUGGGUAGCCAGAGGAAUAGAUACAGAGCAGAGAGGUCGAGCACCUGACUUCCCCUUCAAAGUCAGUGAUCCAUGCAGCACUUCUGAUUGGAACGAUGUGAGCCUUUCCAAUUCUUCAUGUACAUAUAAAUGGAGAUGCUGAGGAAAUUAGCCAGAAUCUAUCGAAGAAGAACUGAACUAUCCUAGAAGCUUUACUGCUGUCCAAAGUACUCGGUUCUAUCUAAGAAAGAAAGGAACUUUACUCUGUCGUGCCUCUCCACCUUGAUGUUUAUGAUUUGAAGCCAGCCAACCAUGGACUGAAUCCCGUGACGAGAUGAGGCAAGUACAGGAACACACAUAGCAGAUGAAAUCAUGACAAGAAGGGAUGUAAUAUAUCAGAUCUCAUUUUCUAAGACAUGUCUAGAUCUGGACUUCAAUCAGAAGCACAUACACAUCCAUUAAUCAGCCAACACAGGAGGGUGAACCUCAAGAAAGACCAAACUUCCAGGAAAGCCCUCUAAUUGAAUUUGUGGGUCAGUGUUUCAUGGGAGGAGGUGACGACCACAGAUUGUAAAAAGACUAAAUAAUUAAAUAAAUAAACAAGCAAAAUGAAGUAAUCCUUUCGUAGUUCACAUACCUCCUGAAGCUAAGCCCUCAGGGAAGAAAACACCACUUCCAUAAAAGCUGUUGUCAUCAUCUGUCCAUUUCAAAGGAUACAUCUCGGGCUUCUCAGAGCAUCAAUAGCCAAAUAUAUCCUCAAGGCAUCUGUGAAACACUCCGUCCAGCAAUUUCCCGUAAGCAGCCCGCCGCCGGAGCUUUAAGCAGGAGUCUCACAGUCGUGGGAGGCAGAAUGCACAGCAGUGAAGACGAGAUGAAGAGCAGGAGAGGCGGUGGUGCAGAAGAAAUAACGCGCAAAGACAUGAGGGAAAGUAUCUACAUAGUGCCAUGGGUCAGACUGAUCUAUUUGGAUCUGUAGCGGGAAGAACACUGAAGUGGGACUCUGAAGGCCUGGAAUCCAGCUUUCAUCAUGCUGUCAGUGAGAUCGAGAAAAUCCUUCUGCUGUUAGACUCAAAAAUUUUCUCACCUGCGAAAUGAAAUUGGCCAAAUGAGCACGAUAAAUUCUAGUAAUUCUGA